UACGUAGGCAGCAAGCGUUGUUCGGAAUCAUUGGGCGUAAAGAGCGUGUAGGCGGCUUGGUAGGUCUGCUGUGAAAACUCGAGGCUCAACCUCGAGCUGUCGGCGGAAACCACUUGGCUAGAGUCCGGAAGAGGAGAGUGGAAUUCCUGGUGUAGCGGUGAAAUGCGCAGAUAUCAGGAAGAACACCUAUGGCGAAGGCAGCUCUCUGGGACGGUACUGACGCUGAGACGCGAAAGCGUGGGGAGCGAACAGG
rnacentral:rRNA from 1 species